CCUACGGGUGGCAGCAGUGGGGAAUUUUGCGCAAUGCUCGUAAGAGUGACGCAGCGACGCCGCGUGAAUGACGAAGGCCUUCGGGUCGUAAAGUUCUUUCGACAGGGAAGAAAAUGCCUAUAAGUAACUGUGUAUGUAUUGACGGUACCUGUAUAAGCAGCCCCGGCUAACUCCGUGCCAGCAGCCGCGGUAAUACGGAGGGGGCGAGCGUUGUUCGGAGUGACUGGGCGUAAAGAGCACGUAGGCGGUGUUGUAAGUCAUUAGUCAAAGACUAGAGCUCAACUUUAGUAAGGCUAGUGAUACUAUAAUACUAGAGUAUCAGAGAGGAUUGCAGAAUUCCUGGUGUAGCGGUGAAAUGCGUAGAUAUCAGGAGGAAUACCGUUAGCGAAGGCGGCCUUCUGGGCCACGACUGACGCUGAGGCGCGAAAGCUAGGGGAGCGAACAGGAUUAGAUACCCGAGUAGUC
rnacentral:rRNA from 1 species